GGCGUGCUAAUGGAUGUUACAGGUGGACCAUUUGAUUUGAUGUCACGAAGAGUAAUUGCUGCAAAUAAUAGAAUAUUAGCAGAAAGGAUAGCUAAAGAAAUUCAGGUUAUACCUUUGCAACGAGACGACGAAGAUUAAUUAAGGCAGCCUCAUAGUCAAUCCCAGUUGCUUUUCCCCAGAUUUGGUGACUCAUCAAUGGAUAUGUGUUUUGGAUGUAUGAUAUGCUUGGUUUAAAUUCUCUUUGUCCAGGUCAAAAAUUUGGAACUUGUUUCUUAUUUUACUAUGUCUAGGUUUGCAAGAAUUGACAUAAUGUUUGUUUCACUGAUUUAAAAAAUUUUGCAUGUAAGAAUGUACUUUAGGAAACAUACCCAGGAAGUACAGUUGAUAAAUAUAACAUCAACUGAAAUAGUCAAUUAGCAAUUUUGUGUUUCUAAAUAUCUAUGGUCCCCUGAAAUUUUGACUUAGUAUAUAGGUGCAGAGACACCCACUUAGAAAGUUAACUGUUUGGAAAAACAUUUCUCUUUAGUUUCAAAAACCAUAUAUAAUUAAAUUUGUAAGGAUAUACUGAGUACCCUAGGCCAACUUUUUUUUCUUUGCAGAGAACCUUUUUUUUAAAUUUUUUUUAUUUCACGUUACCAUGCCAUUUCACAUUACCAUACCAUCAGAUAGCAUGGCUUAUUGUGGGCAUUUCUGCAGUGAAUACAUUUUCCAAAACAGUUAAAUUGUCUGUUUGGAUUUGCUUUAAAGUCUUGUGUAAGAGAGAAGAAACUAUUUCUAUAAUAAAAAGCACUCUCAUCAGAUAUCUGACAUAAUUAGAUACAAUAUAACAUUUUACUAAGUUCAGUAUUCAUGUUUUAAAGGUGUUUAUACUGAUUUGAUUGUGCUGGCAAAUAUACUGUAUUGUUAAUAUUGAACUGUUUAUUUUUCUCUUAGUCUUCUUAUUUAAUUAACUUCAUUGCCGCUGGAUUCUGUUCAGCCUUUAAAAAUAUUUCUUAGUGGUCAUUGCUCUGCAGAACUCAAAAAGAAAAUUGUACUUGUUCAUAGACAUUUUUAAAGGGUUAAUUUAUUGUUCAGCCUUAUCCCUUGGCACGUAAACAGACUACUAGACUUAUUGUAGGUUCGUUUGAGCUUUGUGUUGUAAAAUUAAAAAUGCUUCUGUAAAGUUUUCAAGGUAGGGAGUGAUUUUAUUAUUGUGUAUAUCUAAUAUAUUAAGUAUGUGUGAUACUAAGGUUUGACUGCUAUAAUUAUUUGUACUGUUGAUCACAUGUACUUAAAACAUCUGAUACUGUAUUCU
rnacentral:lncRNA from 1 species